GAAUUAAGUUAAGUGCUUGGAGAAUCAUACUUCCAGCAUUCCUGGGACACUGAUGCUGCCUCUCCUAACUUUAUAAACCAGUAACCAGACUGAUAUCGGUUCAUCCUGAGAGUGAAGGAGGAGCAAGUGGGAUGCUGGCAAGAGGAGCUUCUCAUGCCACAGUUUCUGGAACAUGGGGCUGAAAACACCAGGAGGGCUGCGAUGUGGACCUAGAAAGCCCAAGGAGUGGCCCACGGAAAUGAGUGUCAGAAGUGGAGCCGACCUGCUGGGACGGGACUACAUGCCUGAAAGGGAUGGUGAGCAGCAAAUCCACAGAGAAGCAAGAGAAGCAAGUAACCUCUGUGAGAAUGGAGCCCAGCUACCCGGAACGCUGUUGAAGGGACUAAGGAUGUCUGUGUGUCUCGACCCCCACUACUUUCUGGAAUAGUUCUCACUCUCGGUUAUCCACGGGAAUUGGGGGUGGGGGAGAGGGCUGAGGGAGGAUCAGCCCCCAACACACAGAGAAAUGUCACAUCCAUCUCAGUCAACUCAGCUUCCCUCUGAACCACAUGUUAAUCGUGACUAUUCCCCCAUCCUUUAUGUUAAUGCUUUGAAUUUUGGGUGGAGACACUCAAAGACAACGAAGCAGGAGGACCCGGGUCAUAGCUAAUGCGUGUACCACACUCAGUAACCCACAGGAGUCUGACACAGCAGGCUGCCUUCCUACUCAAGACCUUCCUUGACCUGACGAGUCUGUGGCCUGAUGACUCUCCUAGCCUCUGGGAUGAAGGCGAGGCCAGGCACCAGGAACUGGUGCAGAUUUCCUUAAGAGUCUCCCCUGCAGGAUGGGAGGUUUUGCAAGAAGGUCCCCAGUGAGUUGAAGCCACCUGUUUCUCUGGGAGCAACCCGAGGGCAGUGGGCAAUGCCUCUGGCUUCCCAGAAUGCCCUGUGCAGCACCUGGGCAGAGCAGCCUGGGGUCUGAACAGCACAACCUCCAAGUCUUGGUCCAGGGCCUCAACAGCCAAGGCUACAGGGGCAAAGAAGACCAUCCUCUGGACCUGCUGGAGAUGAAGAGGGUCCCA
rnacentral:lncRNA from 1 species